rnacentral:rRNA from 1 species
AUGAACGCUGGCGGCGUGCCUAAUACAUGCAAGUCGAGCGAACAGACGAGGAGCUUGCUCCUCUGACGUUAGCGGCGGACGGGUGAGUAACACGUGGAUAACCUACCUAUAAGACUGGGAUAACUUCGGGAAACCGGAGCUAAUACCGGAUAAUAUAUUGAACCGCAUGGUUCAAUAGUGAAAGACGGUUUUGCUGUCACUUAUAGAUGGAUCCGCGCCGCAUUAGCUAGUUGGUAAGGUAACGGCUUACCAAGGCAACGAUGCGUAGCCGACCUGAGAGGGUGAUCGGCCACACUGGAACUGAGACACGGUCCAGACGCCUACGGGAGGCAGCAGUAGGGAAUCUGCCGCAAUGGGCGAAAGCCUGACGGAGCAACGCCGCGUGAGUGAUGAAGGUCUUCGGAUCGUAAAACUCUGUUAUUAGGGAAGAACAAAUGUGUAAGUAACUAUGCACGUCUUGACGGUACCUAAUCAGAAAGCCACGGCUAACUACGU